GACGAACGCUGGCGGCAUGCCUAAUACAUGCAAGUCGAACGCGGCCAUCCGGUGCUUGCACUGGUGAAGCCGAGUGGCGAACGGGUGAGUAACACGUGAGAAACCUGCCCUGGAGUGGGGAAUAACUCGAAGAAAUUCGAGCUAAUACCGCAUACCUUCUCUUCACCGCAUGGUGAGUUGAAGAAAGAUUUAUCGCUCUAGGAGGGUCUCGCGGCCUAUCAGCUAGUUGGUGAGGUAAUGGCUCACCAAGGCAUCGACGGGUAGCUGGUCUGAGAGGACGAUCAGCCACACUGGGACUGAGACACGGCCCAGACUCCUACGGGAGGCAGCAGUAGGGAAUCUUGCGCAAUGGGCGAAAGCCUGACGCAGCAAUGCCGCGUGCGGGACGAAGGCCCUAGGGUCGUAAACCGCUUUCAGUAGGGACGAAAAUGACGGUACCUGCAGAAGAAGCUCCGGCCAACUACGUGCCAGCAGCCGCGGU
rnacentral:rRNA from 1 species